rnacentral:rRNA from 1 species
CAGCCGCCGCGGUAAUACGAAGGGGGCUAGCGUUGUUCGGAAUCACUGGGCGUAAAGCGCACGUAGGCGGAUUUUUAAGUCAGGGGUGAAAUCCCGAGGCUCAACCUCGGAACUGCCUUUGAUACUGGAGAUCUUGAGUUCGGAAGAGGUUGGUGGAACAGCUAGUGUAGAGGUGAAAUUCGUAGAUAUUAGCUAGAACACCAGUGGCGAAGGCGGCCAACUGGUCCGACACUGACGCUGAGGUGCGAAAGCGUGGGGAGCAAACAGGAUUAGAUACCGGGUAGUCCCUGUCUCUUAUACA